GGGCCCGCACAAGCGGUGGAGCAUGUGGUGUAAUUCGAAGCAACGCGCAGAACCGUACCAACCCGCGACAUCCCGAUCGCGGUUACCGGAGACGGUUUCCUUCAGGCUCGGCUGGAUCGGCGACAGGUGCUGCAUGGCCGUCGUCAGCUCGUGUCGUGAGAUGCUCGGUUAAGUCCGGCAACGAGCGCAACCCACAUCCUUAGUUGCCAGCAGUUCGGCUGGGCACUCUAGGGAAACUGCCCGUGAUAAGCGGGAGGAAGGUGUGGAUGACGUCAAGUCCUCAUGGCCCUUACGGCUUGGGCUACACACGUGCUACAAUGGUAGUGACAAUGGGUUAAUCCCAAAAAGCUAUCUCAGUUCGGAUUGGGGUCUGCAACUCGACCCCAUGAAGUCGGAAUCGCUAGUAAUCGCGUAACAGCAUGACGCGCUGAAUACGUUCCCGGGCAUUGUACACACCGCCCGUCACACCAUGGGAGUUGGGUUCACCCGAAGGCCGUGCACCAACCUUUCGAGGGG
rnacentral:rRNA from 1 species